AACUAUAACGGUCCUAAGGUAGCGAAAUUCCUUGUCGGGUAAGUUCCGACCCGCAUGAAAGGCGUAAUGAUUUGGGCACUGUCUCAACGAGGGGCCCGGUGAAAUUGAAAUACCUGUGAAGAUGCAGGUUACCCGCGACUGGACAGAAAGACCCCAUGGAGCUUUACUGCAGCUUGAGAUGGAAUCUCGGAAGUAGAUGCACAGGAUAGGUGGGAGACAAAGAAGUAUGUACUUAGGUAUGUAUGGAGUCGAUGUUGGGAUACCACCCUUCUAGUUCUGGGAUUCUAACGCCAGGAGUAACGAUCCUGCGGACAAUCUCAGGUAGGCAGUUUGACUGGGGCGGUCGCCUCCGAAAGAGUAACGGAGGCGCCCAAAGGUUCCCUCAGGUCGGACAGAAACCGACCGACGAGUGCAAAGGCAGAAGGGAGCUUGACUGCGAGACCAACAAGUCGAGCAGAGACGAAAGUCGGGCUUAGUGAUCCGGUGGUACUGUGUGGAAAGGCCAUCGCUCAACGGAUAAAAGCUACCCUGGGGAUAACAGGCUAAUCUCUCCCAAGAGUUCAUAUCGACGGGGAGGUUUGGCACCUCGAUGUCGGCUCAUCACAUCCUGGGGCUGGAGUAGGUCCCAAGGGUUGGGCUGUUCGCCCAUUAAAGUGGUACGCGAGCUGGGUUCAAAACGUCGUGAGACAGUUUGGUUCAUAUCCAUCGCGGGCGUAAGAAGUUUGAGGGGGGCUGCUCCUAGUACGAGAGGACCGGAGUGGACGAAUCAAUGGUGUACCAGUUGUCACGCCAGUGGCAUGGCUGGAAAGCCACAUUCGGAAGGGAUAAACGCUGAAAGCAUCUAAGCGUGAAGCCCACCCCAAGAUGAGACUUCUCAUCAGAAAUGAGUAAGAUCCCUUAUAGACUAUGAGGUAGAUAGGCCGCAAGUGGAAGAGCAGUGAUGUUUGGAGCGAUGCGGUACUAAUAGAUCGAGGUCUUAACUUA
rnacentral:rRNA from 1 species